rnacentral:rRNA from 1 species
CUACGGGACGCUCCAGUGGGGAAUCUUAGACAAUGGGCGCAAGCCUGAUCUAGCCAUGCCGCGUGAGUGACGAAGGCCUUAGGGUCGUAAAGCUCUUUCGCUAGGGAAGAUAAUGACUGUACCUAGUAAAGAAACCCCGGCUAACUCCGUGCCAGCAGCCGCGGUAAUACGGAGGGGGUUAGCGUUGUUCGGAAUUACUGGGGCGUAAAGCGCGCGUAGGCGGAUCAGAAAGUUGGGGGUGAAAUCCCAGGGCUCAACCCUGGAACUGCCGCCAAAACUCCUGGUCUUGAGUUCGAGAGAGGUGAGUGGAAUUCCGAGUGUAGAGGUGAAAUUCGUAGAUAUUCGGAGGAACACCAGUGGCGAAGGCGGCUCACUGGCUCGAUACUGACGCUGAGGUGCGAAAGCGUGGGGAGCAAACAGGAUUAGAUACCCGCGUAGUC